rnacentral:rRNA from 1 species
AAUAUUGGUCAAUGGACGCAAGUCUGAACCAGCCAUCUCGCGUGCAGGAUGACUGCCCUACGGGUUGUACACUGCUUUUUUACGAGAAGAAACUUAUCUACGAGUAGAUAAUUGACAGUAUCGUAUGAAUAAGGAUCGGCUAACUCCGUGCCAGCAGCCGCGGUAAUACGGAGGAUCCAAGCGUUAUCCGGAUUUAUUGGGUUUAAAGGGUACGUAGGCGGACUCAUAAGUCAGUGGUGAAAUUCUGCAGCUUAACUGUAGUAUUGCCAUUGAUACUGUUUGUCUUGAGUAUAGUUGAGGUAGGCGGAAUGUAGUGUGUAGCGGUGAAAUGCAUAGAUAUACUACGGAACACCGAUUGCGAAGGCAGCUUACUAAACUAUUACUGACGCUGAGGUACGAAAGCGUGGGGAGCAAACAGG